rnacentral:rRNA from 1 species
UACGUAGGGGGCAAGCGUUAUCCGGAUUUAUUGGGUUUAAAGGGUGCGUAGGCGGCCUUUUAAGUCAGCGGUGAAAGUCUGUGGCUCAACCCCAUCCAGCCGUUGAAACUGGGGAUCUAGAGUGUGCGAGAGGUAUGCGGAAUGCGUGGUGUAGCGGUGAAAUGCAUAGAUAUCACGCAGAACCCCGAUUGCGAAGGCAGCAUACCGGUGCACAACUGACGCUCAGGCACGAAAGCGUGGGUAUCGAACAGG